AUAAUUCUGAAACAACAUGAAAUGAUUUUUGAAUUGUUUCAGCAGUCCUAUUGCAAUGACUCCAGAAAAUAAUUAUAAAACCUAAGUAAAAGGUUUAGUAACUAAUUGGAUCCUGUGGUGAGUCCAUGGAGGACAAGUUGUUCAUUUGUUACAAUUGUAUGGUCUGAAAUGUGUUCUGCAGUAAUGCAAUAAGCUGGCUACUUCUUACAAUGGGCCCAAUGAAAAAUAAUCUGUCCCCAAGAUGUUAUCGGCAAACACUUAGAGAGUUGCUCAGAGAGAGAAAAAAAUAAAGCCAAGGUAGGAGAGAAGCAAGAGUGACUCAAACAGAUUUGAAAUAGAAAUACAGCACAGUUAAUAUUAGAAUAUGGGGAUGGAUGGGUUGCGAAUGGAGGUAGAAGAAGAAAGUGAGAGAGAAGGGAGAAAAGAAAAAAAGGUCUUUAAAGAAAUAAAAAUCCCCACUACCAAAGGAAAUAAUGAGAAAGAAAGGGAGGUGUUUAAGAAAGACAGAAAUAUAAGGGCCAGGAUAAUUAAAAGAGUUAGAAGCAACUAUGUACAAAUAGGAAAUGGACCUAAUAGACUAAGACGGCUAGUUUAAUUAUCUCCUUUAAGCAGACUGGACAUGAUUUUAUUUUUUUUUCAUAAGAGAGCAAUUUCACCAAAGGUCAAAGUUGCUUGAAAUUUAACAGUUCUUCAGAAUGAAGCAUGAAAGAAAACCCAACAAAUAAGUUGUAUUAGAUGCCAAAUUUAUGGCUAGUAUUAAACAGUGAUAGAGUUCAAGUGAAUGAGGUAAGGCAAAGGAGAUCCCCACUGAUGCAUUUGUGAACAAAAACAACUGAAGGGAAAACAUGUGUUUAGACUGAAAAAGGUGAUGACGUGUUUGCUUUUAUCGGGGAUUUUAUUUGUGGAAUGAUAAUGUACUGGCACAGAAGAAAUAUAGUCUUUUGCCGAUCAAAAGUUGGAGAGUUGAACUCUUAUAUUGAGUUAAAAGGACAUAGAUCUAGAAGAAAGAUUCCCUCCUUGAGCAUUUUUUUAAGUCAUAUUAAAAAGCUAUAUUUAUUUGUGAUAAGUGUAUAUUUGCAUUAUGGAGAAACAGAAUUUCAAUGGCAAACAUUAUAGUUUGAAGUCAAGAUUAAAACUUACUUCUUUGAAUUCAUAGGAACUAAGGACUGGAGUUGAAAUUCUUUUUGGAUACGUUAUAUAUAUACAUAUAUAAUGGGGGACAGAGAAAUCUGUGAAGGCCUCCUACUGCCCAAUACGAACAUUUAAUUUAUCUCAGUCUUAUCCUAUCAUCCUUCAAGCUAUCUUUUUAAAAAAAAAAUACAUGACAAUGUAGUGUGGCAUUUAGUAGAUUUUUUUUUGCAACAAAUUGAUUGUAAUAUGGCAUUAAUAUUUAUUUUCACCAAUCUUUGCAAGUUAAAAAUUACCUUAUACCAGGAAAAAAAAUUUCAAAACUUUUCAACUGUUUCUUCUUUCAUAGUUAUAACUGUUUUCAAUGAGAUGAAAAUUGUUCUUUUUGAGAUUUUGGAACUAAAAGUGAUCACAACUUAUAACUUGAAAUUCCAAAUUACAUUUUAUUUCUAGGUUUAAAGUAUUUUACUUGAAUUUAUCUGGUAUAAAGUUAAUAUAAGUUACUAAUAUAUAAAACAUUAAGAAAAUGGCUUAGUUAGAGCAGGAAAGGAUUCUUCCAAAUAUGUUUCAAGAUUUAAUACAAAUAUCCUUAUGAUCAUGGAAGAUUUAAUGUGAUUUCUAUAACUUGCAUAAAAUCAAAGGUAGAGAGGCAAAAAGUGAACCUUCUUGUGUGUUGAUUAUAUAUAUUCAAGUUGCAUAUUUCACCCACAUAGGCAGAUAAAUUGAAUAUAUUUAGAAUUCUAAGUAUAUAAAUGUAAUUUCUAAAAAGUGUAUUUUCUACAACAUUGCUGAGGAGCUUGCAUGCAUUGAAGCAAUUUUGCUUUUGAGAUACUAAUUUUAUGUAUAGUUAAAGUGUCUAGCUGAGUUUGGGGACAAAUGCCUGUUGGAGAAAUAGGCUAGCAAAAGGUGAAGGUGAAGAUUGGAGGUUUUAGCGCUGGCUGAGAUGGGAUGCUGGGGCUGUGUAACCGUGCCUAGAGGGCGGGGUUCCUGUGCAUUCCUACUUCAGCAGAUAACCUGCCCCCACGCCACUCCAGCUUCUGCCAGACAGAUGGAACUCUCCAACAGGAUAAUCUGUGCAGCCAUUCCAACAAGCAGGACUGCCUGAAGUUGUCUGAGGAUGCUGAAGAAAAGAUUGCGGCCUGGGAGCGCUCCUUCCCUCCAGAUCGAAGUUUUUCACUGGUCAGUACAAUGAAGGUUGAUGGCAUGAUCAUCCAACUUGCCUCAAAGAAUUCAUCGGUGUGCUGUUAUCAAGCAGAAGUUUCCAAAUAUGAGUUCUCUAACUCAAGGAAAGUUGCUGCAUCCAGGCAGAAAGGCAUCUGGGAACUCCCUAAGUGUGCAUGAUUUGUCUUCUGAGAAAGUUGCUUCAGCAUUUUUGCUUUUUUUUUGAGUACUUCUCUCUAUAGCAUCCUCCAGACUCUAAACUACUAGACAGGUUCCUAAGUUCCUUCAGAUCUGUCCCAUGUCAGGGUUCUCGGUCCACUUCCCACCUUCUGGCUCCAUGGAUGAAAAAUAAAUAAUAAUAAAAUAACAAAAAUCA